rnacentral:misc_RNA from 1 species
AAGUCGUAACAAGGUUUCCGUAGGUGAACCUGCGGAAGGAUCAUUAAUUUCGGUAGUUUACUACCGUUUGAGGGAAAUGGAAACUUUUCAGGCCUCCCUGGAAAGAAGUACACUUCUUUUCUUAACCCUUGACUUUUUGCGCACUCAUGUUUCCUCGGCAGGCCUGCCUGCCGGUUGGACUAUAUUAUAACCUUUUUAAUUCUCAAUCAGCGUCUGAAUAAUUAUAAUAAUUACAACUUUCAACAACGGAUCUCUUGGUUCUG